rnacentral:tRNA from 1 species
GCGCCCUUAGCUCAUUGGUAGAGCGCGUCGUUGACAUCGACGAGGCAAUAGGUUCGAUCCCUAUAGGGCGCA